rnacentral:rRNA from 1 species
UACGGAGGGGGCUAGCGUUGUUCGGAAUUACUGGGCGUAAAGCGCACGUAGGCGGCUUUGUAAGUUAGAGGUGAAAGCCCGGGGCUCAACUCCGGAAUUGCCUUUAAGACUGCAUCGCUAGAAUUGUGGAGAGGUAAGUGGAAUUCCGAGUGUAGAGGUGAAAUUCGUAGAUAUUGGGAAGAACACCGGUGGCGAAGGCGGCUCUCUGGACCGAUACUGACGCUGAGGCGCGAAAGCGUGGGGAGCAAACAGG